rnacentral:rRNA from 1 species
GGACCCGCACAAGCGGUGGAUGAUGUGGUUUAAUUCGAUGCAACGCGAAAAACCUUACCCACCUUUGACAUGUACGGAAUCCUUCAGAGAUGGAGGAGUGCCCGAAAGGGAGCCGUAACACAGGUGCUGCAUGGCUGUCGUCAGCUCGUGUCGUGAGAUGUUGGGUUAAGUCCCGCAACGAGCGCAACCCUUGUCAUUAGUUGCUACAUUCAGUUGGGCACUCUAAUGAGACUGCCGGUGACAAACCGGAGGAAGGUGGGGAUGACGUCAAGUCCUCAUGGCCCUUAUAGGUGGGGCUACACACGUCAUACAAUGGCCGGUACAAAGGGCUGCCAACCCGCGAGGGGGAGCCAAUCCCAUAAAACCGGUCGUAGUCCGGAUCGUAGUCUGCAACUCGACUACGUGAAGUCGGAAUCGCUAGUAAUCGUGGAUCAGAAUGUCACGGUGAAUACGUUCCCGGGUCUU